CCUACGGGUGGCUGCAGUGGGGAAUAUUGGACAAUGGGCGAAAGCCUGAUCCAGCCAUGCCGCGUGUGUGAAGAAGGCCUUCGGGUUGUAAAGCACUUUCAGUGGGGAAGAAAGCCUUGGGGCUAAUACCCUCGAGGAAGGACAUCACCCACAGAAGAAGCACCGGCUAACUCCGUGCCAGCAGCCGCGGUAAUCCGGAGGGUGCGAGCGUUAAUCGGAAUUACUGGGCGUAAAGCGCGCGUAGGCGGUCUGAUAAGCCGGUUGUGAAAGCCCCGGGCUCAACCUGGGAACGGCAUCCGGAACUGUCAGGCUAGAGUGCAGGAGAGGAAGGUAGAAUUCCCGGUGUAGCGGUGAAAUGCGUAGAGAUCGGGAGGAAUACCAGUGGCGAAGGCGGCCUUCUGGACUGACACUGACGCUGAGGUGCGAAAGCGUGGGUAGCAAACAGGAUUAGAUACCCGAGUAGUC
rnacentral:rRNA from 1 species